CUCCGCCUCCCCAGCGCCCUGUCGGGGGCGGAUUAGGAAGCCGGGGCGCGGAGGGGGGGGGGGGCCGGGCGCGGGGUCAAGGUCACUCGGAGGGCGCGGGGAGGCACCCGGGAGCAGAGGCCAGCGCCUGGGCGCGGGCGCGGCGGCGGCUGGAGAACUGAAGUCGGCUGGCGGGUCACUCCCACCUUGCCCAGGCCUGGCCGCAUCCCCCAUACUGCACAGACCUGGAAACAGGCUCCACUCACUGCCUUCCCCUUAUCAACCUCGAAGCCGUAGGACUCCCUCCAUCACAAAGCCUCUUCCAUGCUUGUCAUCUUCCCGAGGACCCUCCCAGCAGAGAGAGACACAGCGAGAGAGGGAACACAAGCAGGGGGAGUGGAAGAGGGAGAAGCAAGCUUCCCGUGGAGCAGGGAGCCCGAUGUGGUACUUGAUCCCAGGACCCCGGGAUCAUGACCUGAGCCGAAGGCAGACGCCUAACGACUGAGCCACCCAGGCGCCCCAAUAAAAUCUUUAAAAAAAAAAAAAUUUUAAAAAGUGAAGAAGAAACAGGUGAAAUUAAUUUCAACAAUAAAUGUUACUCAAUGCAGCCUUGUAGUCGAUGUAUGCAGUCCAAAUGGUAUGCAUUUCAACACGUAAUAAUAUCUUGAAAAAUGGAGAUGUUUUAUAGGUCUUUGCCUUAGACGAAGUCUUUGCUAUCCAGUGUCUGUAUUACCCUUAGAACACCUCUCAGUUCGGCCGAGACAGACUUUCAUACAUGGCUAGUGGCUAAGGGUCAUGUGAGAGGUCAGCUCACUGCUGACUUUGGGGAGCCCGGGGCUCAGUUUCCUCAUCUUGUGUGCUUGUUAAAGGCCCAGGCCCAGGCCCUUCCCGGAGAUGUGUUGGCUUAGACCCUGGAGGGCUGGGAGGGAGGCCUGGGACUUGGCCCUACAGAACACAGCCCCUAGCUCUUCUGAUACACACUCAAGUUGAGGGAGUGCCGUUCAAGCUCUGCUAUCUGUGAUUCGACCAAACCCAGCCACGCAGGAUUGGCCCACUGCCUCACCCCUUGUGCCACAAUGCUGGUUGCCCUGUCCCUGAGAUGGGAGGGCCCAGGGUCCACACCAAAGUACCAUGUCUG